GAUGAAGAACGCAGCGAAAUGCGAUAAGUAAUGUGAAUUGCAGAAUUCCGUGAGUCAUCGAAUCUUUGAACGCACAUUGCGCCCUCUGGUAUUCCGGGGGGCAUGCCUGUCCGAGCGUCAUUUGCAACCCUCAAGCCCGGCUUGUGUGAUGGGUGCCGUCCCCUACGGGACGCGCCCCGAAGGCAAUGGCGGCGUCGCGGUUAUCCGAUCAGCCAAAGUGUAUGGGGCUUUGUCACUCACUUUACGGCCCGGACCGGCGCCAGUCCGAAUCAAUCUUUUUUCUAAAGUUGACCUCGGAUCAGGUAGGGAUACCCGCUGAACUUAAGCAUAUCAAUAAGCGGAGGA
rnacentral:misc_RNA from 1 species